AGAGUUGUGUGGUUUAAUAGCAGAGCCAUCUGCUUUGCGUGCAGAAGAUACCAGGUUCAAUCCCUGGCAUUUCCA